CCUACGGGAGGCAGCAGUGGGGGAUAUUGGACAAUGGGGGAAACCCUGAUCCAGCGACGCCGCGUGAGUGAAGAAGUAUUUCGGUAUGUAAAGCCCUAUCAGCAGGGAGGAAAGAAAUGACGGUACCUGAGUAAGAAGCCCAGGCUAACUACGUGCCAGCAGGCGCGGUAAUACGUCGGGGGCAAGCGUUAUCCGGAAUUACUGGGUGUAAAGGGAGCGUAGACGGGAAUGCAAGGCAGGAGUGAAAGGCGGGGGCCCACCCCCCGGAGUGCUCUGGAAACUGGGUGACUGGAGUGCAGGAGAGGCAGGCGGAAUGCGUGGUGUAGCGGUGAAAUGCGUAGAUAUUAGGCGGAACACCAGUGGCGAAGGCGGCCUGCUGGACUGUAACUGACGUUGAGGCACGAAAGCGUGGGGAGCGAACAGGAUUAGAUACCCCGGUAGUC
rnacentral:rRNA from 1 species